GACGAACGCUGGCGGCAGGCCUAACACAUGCAAGUCGAGCGAGCGACGGACGGGUGAGUAAUGUCUGGGAAACUGCCUGCUGGAGGGGGAUAACUACUGGAAACGGUAGCUAAUACCGCAUACCAUCAGAUGUGCCCAGAUGGGAUUAGCUAGUAGGUGGGGUAACGGCUCACCUAGGCGACGAUCCCUAGCUGGUCUGAGAGGAUGACCAGCCACACUGGGACUGAGACACGGCCCAGACUCCUACGGGAGGCAGCAGUGGGGAAUAUUGGACAAUGGGGGAAAGCCUGAUCCAGCCAUGCCGCGUGUGUGAAGAAGGCCUUCGGGUUGUAAAGUACUUUCGGCGGGGAGGCGUUACCCGCAGAAGAAGCACCGGCUAACUACGUGCCAGCAGCCGCGGUAAUAC
rnacentral:rRNA from 1 species